rnacentral:rRNA from 1 species
AUUGAACGCUGGCGGUAUGCUUAAGACAUGCAAGUCGAACGGUAACAGGCAGAGCUUGCUCUGUGCUGACGAGUGGCGGACGGGUGAGUAACACGUGGAAAUCUACCCAGUAGCGGGGGAUAAGUCAGAGAAAUUUGAUCUAAUACCGCAUACGUCCUACGGGAGAAAGGCUUCGGCCACUAUUGGAUGAGUCCGCGUUAGAUUAGCUUGAUGGUGAGGUAAAGGCUCACCAUGGCGACGAUCUAUAGCUGGUCUGAGAGGAUGAUCAGCCACAUUGGGACUGAGACACGGCCCAGACUCCGUACGGGAGGCAGCAGGUCGGGAAUAUUGGACAAGUGGGACGAAAGCCUGAUCCAGCAAUACCGCGUGUGUGAAGAAGGCCUGGCGGGGUUUAGUAAAGCUAACUUUUCAAGGUAGGGAANAUAAUGAACGUUACCUANAGAAGAAGCACCGGCUAACUCCGUG